rnacentral:rRNA from 1 species
CAGCCGCCGCGGGAAUACGAAGGGUGCAAGCGUUAAUCGGAAUUACUGGGCGUAAAGCGUGCGUAGGCGGUUUGUUAAGUCUGUUGUGAAAUCCCCGGGCUCAACCUGGGAAUGGCAAUGGAUACUGGCAAGCUAGAGUGUGUCAGAGGAUGGUGGAAUUCCCGGUGUAGCGGUGAAAUGCGUAGAGAUCGGGAGGAACAUCAGUGGCGAAGGCGGCCAUCUGGGACAACACUGACGCUGAGGCACGAAAGCGUGGGGAGCAAACAGGAUUAGAUACCCCAGUAGUCCCUGUCUCAUACAC